rnacentral:misc_RNA from 1 species
UCCGGUUUAGCACCGGCAGUCUCCCCAGAGUCCUCGCCAUCACGCGUUAGCAACUGGGAACGGGGGUCGCGCUCGUUGCGGGACUUAACCCAACAUCUCACGACACGAGCUGACGACAGCCAUGCACCACCUGUGCAGGCUCCGUAGAGCGCCGGCUUUCACCGGCUUUGCCCUGCAUGUCAAGCCUAGGUAAGGUUCUUCGCGUUGCGUCGAAUUAAACCACAUGCUGCACCGCUUGUGCGGGCCCCCGUCAAUUCCUUUGAGUUUCAACCUUGCGGUCGUACUCCCCAGGCGGGGUACUUCCUGCGUUAGCGCCGGCACCCAGAGGGUCGCUCCCCCAGGCACCUAGUACCCAUCGUUUACGGCGUGGACUAC